rnacentral:rRNA from 1 species
GAUGAACGCUGGCGGCGUGCCUAAUACAUGCAAGUCGAGCGAACAGACGAGGAGCUUGCUCCUCUGACGUUAGCGGCUGACGUGUGAGUAACACGUGGAUAACCUACCUAUAAUACUGGUAUAACUUCGGGAAACCGGAGCUAAUACCGGAUAAUAUAUUGAACCGCAUGGUUCAAUAGUUAAAUACGUUUUUGCUGUCUCUUAUAGAUGUAUCCGCGCCUCAUUAGCUAGUUGGUAAGUUAACGGCUUACCAAGGCAACGAUGCGUAGCCGACCUGAGAGGGUGAUCGGCCAAACUGGAACUGAGACACGGUCCAGACUCCUACGGGAGGAAGCAGUAGGGAAUAUUCCGCAAUGGGCGAAAGCAUGACGGAGAAACGCCGCGUGAGAGAUGAAGGUCUUCGGAUCGUAAAACUCUGUUAUUAGGGAAGAACAAAUGUGUAAGUAACUAUGCACGUAUUGACGGUACCUAAUCAGAAAGCAACGGCUAACUACGUG